rnacentral:lncRNA from 1 species
GAGAUGCCCAGAAGAAAGAGAGGGCUGAACAGGGGACUCCAGUGACGUCCGAUGGGCCGACUUUACGAUCCUUUAGAGUAAAAAUGUCAUCCAGGAAGACCUAAAGAUAACAAUAAACGAUUAUAGUUUAACUUAGGAUGGUACUAUAUCUCAACUAGGACAAAGUCCGGCACAUAGUAAUCGCUAUGUUUUUACUAUGAUGAUUAUUAUUAUCUUCGUCUAACAGCAACAACAAAAAAAAGGCCAGAGGCAUCUGUGCAAAACUUGGUCUCUAUGAAGUCAGAGCUAUUAGUAUCAGCAUUUUGCCCAUGAAGAAACCGCGGUGUAGAGAGAUUCUUUUCCCGGAACUGGAUAACCAGCAAAAUGUGAAGCAGGGUAAUCUGUCUCCUGAGUCUGGGCUCUUCAGUGACACCACUGUUUCCCCAAAGGGAAGCCCACCAGAGCCCUCUUCUCCCUGGGGAGGAACUGGCUCCCUGAGUCUCCAAGACAACCCCAGACAGCCCUGGGGACCUUGAAUGUGAGCAAGGGGAGCAGGAAGGAGACUCCAGCCCACCCAGAGCCCCUGCAGGGUCUGCACACACAAUUACAGAUUUGAAUUCAAAUAACUGAUGAUUUGUUCCAUGAAUGCCAGAGCUGGAAGGGAUGGGGAUGGCGGAAGAGACAAGACUGGAUCAUGGACCUGGUGGUUCUGUGCAGAGGCCAAAGCUACUCUGCUUCCCACCUGGCUCUGUGCUGGGCCUAACCUGGAGCCCCCUCCAUCCUCUGCCUUAUUCACCUCUGGUUCAAGGUCCGGCAGAAACUCCACAUCCUCCAGGAAGCCCUGGUGGACUUGGGCAGACCUGGAGACACGUCCAACCUCCUGGCAAGAUGGGGGUUACAAGAGUGUGUAUAAAGGGGAAGGCAAGAAUGUGCCCUUGGUGGAGCAGUGAAAAGAAGCCUUCAUGUGACAAGUGCUUUGCUCCUAACCCACCCCCUGUGGUGACAUCUUCUAGGUUAACUGCCCUUGCUGAUCUCUGCACAUAAACCAAGCUAACUGUGGGAGGACUUUUGUUUCUAGUUUAAAGCAAGGAGGACCACAGUUCCUUCCAAACGCUCACCCCCAAGGAGAUAAGGAGGGCAUCCCAUGAGCAACACUGUGUGUUAAAGAUGCACAUGAGCACUAGGACUCGACCAAGGACAAACACGUCUCCAGGCCCCUCAGACCCUCGCUGCUGCCCAGAUGUCCAUUGUCAUCGGUCACAUCCUAACCUCAACCCCCUCCCCUCCUCCCACAUAAAAGGAGGCUGAAAUUCAUAGUAACUUCAGAUGGUUCUUUAGGACACUGGCCCACCACCUUCUCAGUUGCUGGCUCUCCAAAACAAAGCCCCCUCCCUUGACCCAACUCCUUGUCUCUUGACGUACUGGCUGUUGUGCAGUGCGUGGUACCGGCUUGAACUCGGUUAUGCUGGCACGGCCUCUGGCAGUGUUCAGUGUGUGCGGAUGAGUAUUUUACAGCUACUGUUCUAUUUCUAGUCCCCUUCCUGUGGACGGCUGUGGGAUGUGCUGUGGAUGCCCUCUCUUAGGCUGGAAUAAACCGCCCUACCUUCUCU